rnacentral:misc_RNA from 1 species
GCGUCAUUUCAACCAUCAAGCUCUGCUUGCGUUGGGGAUCCGCGUCUGACGCGGUCCCUCAAAAACAGUUGGCGGGCUCGCUAGUCACACCGAGCGUAGUAACUCUACAUCGCUAUGGUCGUGCGGCGGGUUCUUGCCCGUAAAACCCCCCAUUUUUUAAGGUUGACCUCGGAUCAGGUAGGAAUACCCGCUGAACUUAA